AGCUUGCUUUUGAUGGGCGUCGACCGGCGCACGGGUGAGUAACGCGUAUCCAACCUGCCCACCACUUGGGGAUAACCUUGCGAAAGUAAGACUAAUACCCAAUGAUAUCUCUAGAAGGCAUCUGAAUGGGAUUAAAGAUUUAUCGGUGAUGGAUGGGGAUGCGUCUGAUUAGCUUGUUGGCGGGGUAACGGCCCACCAAGGCAACGAUCAGUAGGGGUUCUGAGAGGAAGGUCCCCCACAUUGGAACUGAGACACGGUCCAAACUCCUACGGGAGGCAGCAGUGAGGAAUAUUGGUCAAUGGGCGAGAGCCUGAACCAGCCAAGUAGCGUGCAGGAUGACGGCCCUAUGGGUUGUAAACUGCUUUUAUAAGGGAAUAAAGUGAGUCUCGUGAGACUUUUUGCAUGUACCUUAUGAAUAAGGACCGGCUAAUUCCGUGCCAGCAGCCGCGGUAAUACGGAAGGUCCGGGCGUUAUCCGGAUUUAUUGGGUUUAAAGGGAGCGUAGGCCGGAGAUUAAGCGUGUUGUGAAAUGUAGAGGCUCAACGUCUGCACUGCAGCGCGAACUGGUUUCCUUGAGUACGCACAAAGUGGGCGGAAUCGUGGUUAGCG
rnacentral:rRNA from 1 species